AGGUCAUGCUAGAAAGAGCACAGGGCGGAUGCCUUGGCACUAAGAGCCGAUGAAAGACGCGAUAAGCUGCGAAAAGCUUCGGGGAGGAGCAAAUAUCCUACGAUCCGGAGAUAUCUGAAUGGGGAAACCCGGCUGGAAAGACUCCAGUCACUGUAUGGUGAAUCCAUAGCCAUACAGAGGGAACCCGGUGAACUGAAACAUCUAAGUAGCCGGAGGAAAAGAAAGAAAACUCGAUUUCCAAAGUAGCGGCGAGCGAAAUGGAAGGAGCCUAAACCUGGGUGCGUGCACCCAGGGGUUAAGGACUGCAAUAAGUGACUUAGAGGUUAAUAGAAUGGUUUUGGGAAAGCCAGCCAGAGAGGGUGAAAGCCCCGUAAAUGAAAGCCAAAGAGAGCGAGCAGGAUCCAAAGUACCACGAGACACGAGAAACCUUGUGGGAAGUAGGGGGGACCACCCCCCAAGGCUAAAUACUACUUAGUGACCGAUAGCGCAUAGUACUGUGAAGGAAAGGUGAAAAGAACCCCGGGAGGGGAGUGAAAGAGAACCUGAAACCCUGUGUUUACAAGCUGUGGAACACCGUUAUGGUGAACCGCGUACUUUUUGUAGAACGGUCCGGCGAGUUACGCUUACUGGUAAGGUUAAGCACUAAAGGUGCGGAGCCGAAGGGAAACCAAGUCUUAACAGGGCGCCAAAAUCAGUAGGAGUAGACCCGAAACCGGGUGACCUAUCCAUGUCCAGGUUGAAGAUGCCGUAAAAGGCAUUGGAGGACCGAACGCACAUCCGUUGAAAAGGGUGGCGAUGAGGUGUGGAUAGCGGAGAAAUUCCAAUCGAACCCGGAGAUAGCUGGUUCUCCUCGAAAUAGCUUUAGGGCUAGCCUCAUACAAGUCAUGCGGAGGUAGAGCACUGAAUUUCCUAGGGGGCGUCAAAGCUUACCAAAGAAUAUCAAACUCCGAAUGCCGUAGAGAUGAUGUAUGGGAGUCAGACUGCACGAGAUAAGUUGGGUAGUCAAAAGGGAAAGAGCCCAGACCUACAGCUAAGGUCCCAAAGUGUGUGUUAAGUGGAAAAGGAUGUGAGAUUUCAGAGACAACCAGGAUGUUGGCUUAGAAGCAGCCAUACAUUAAAAGAGUGCGUAACAGCUCACUGGUCGAGAGGUCUUGCGCCGAAAAUGUCCGGGGCUAAAACACAACACCGAAGCUUAGGAAUCACAGUAAUGUGAUUGGUAGAGGAGCAUUCUUAAAUGCAAAGAAGCUGUACCGUAAGGAGCAGUGGAGCGUUAAGAAGAGAGAAUGCCGGAAUGAGUAGCGAGAUAGAAGUGAGAAUCUUCUAGGCCGAAUAUCCAAGGAUUCCAGGGUAAAGCUGAUCUGCCCUGGGUAAGUCGGGGCCUAAGGCGAGGUCGAAAGACGUAGUCGAUGGACAACAGGUGGAAAUUCCUGUACUACAAUAUAACAGAACUGUGGGGACGCAGAAAGAGAGCACAAGCCGGGAAUGGAAAGACCGGUACAAGCGGGGUAUCCGCUGGGCAGGCAAAUCCGCCCAGCAAGGAGAAGACGUAAAGUGGACCGAACUAAAAGUAGGGAAGUGUGUGAGCUGGCUGCCAAGAAAAGCCGCUAUUGAUUAUAUUGUACCCGUACCGUAAACCGACACAGGUGGAUGAGGAGAGAAUCCUAAGGCCGACGGGAGAAGCAUUGUUAAGGAACUCGGCAAAAUAACCCCGUAACUUCGGGAGAAGGGGUGCCUGCGAAAGCAGGCCGCAGAGAAUUGGCCCAAGCAACUGUUUAGCAAAAACACAGGUCUAUGCAAAACCGAAAGGUGAGGUAUAUGGGCUGACGCCUGCCCGGUGCUGGAAGGUUAAGGGGAGAAGUUAGCGCAAGCGAAGCUUUGAACUUAAGCCCCAGUAAACGGCGGCCGUAACUAUAACGGUCCUAAGGUAGCGAAAUUCCUUGUCGGGUAAGUUCCGACCCGCACGAAAGGCGUAAUGAUUUGGGCACUGUCUCGACAAUGCACCCGGUGAAAUUGAAGUACCAGUGAAGAUGCUGGUUACCCGUGCCAGGACGGAAAGACCCCAUGGAGCUUUACUCCAGUUUGAUACUGGGAUUCGGUACUGCAUGUACAGGAUAGGCGGGAGACGAAGAAGUAGUGACGCCAGUCACUACGGAGUCAUUGUUGGGAUACCGCCCUUGUAGUAUUGGAUUUCUAACUAGCAGCCGUAAACCGGCUGGAGGACAAUGUCAGGCGGGGAGUUUGACUGGGGCGGUCGCCUCCGAAAGAGUAUCGGAGGCGCUCAAAGGUUCCCUCAGAAUGGUUGGAAACCAUUCGCAGAGUGCAAAGGCAAAAGGGAGCUUGACUGUGACACCGACGGGUGGAGCAGGUAGGAAACUAGGACUUAGUGAUCCGGUGGUAUAAAGUGGGAUUGCCAUCGCUCAACGGAUAAAAGCUACCCUGGGGAUAACAGGCUUAUCACUCCCAAGAGUUCACAUCGACGGAGUGGUUUGGCACCUCGAUGUCGGCUCAUCGCAUCCUGGGGCUGAAGUAGGUCCCAAGGGUUGGGCUGUUCGCCCAUUAAAGCGGUACGCGAGCUGGGUUCAGAACGUCGUGAGACAGUUCGGUCCCUAUCCGGCACGGGCGCAGGAUAUUUGAGAGGAGCUGACCUUAGUACGAGAGGACCGGGUUGGACGAACCUCUGGUGUAUCUGUUGUCGACCAACGGCAUGGCAGAGUAGCCAAGUUUGGCAGGGAUAAACGCUGAAGGCAUCUAAGCGUGAAGCCCCCCUCAAGAUGAGAUAUCCCAUAGCGCAGGCUAGUAAGACCCCUUGAAGAGUACAAGGUAGAUAGGGCAGAGGUGGAAGUGCAGUAAUGUAUGGAGCUGACUGUUACUAAUCGGUCGAGGGCAUGACCCAA
rnacentral:rRNA from 1 species